AACGGUCUAUACCUGCGGUACCUGCGGAAGGAUCAUUAAUGAGAAACUGCCCCUCGCGGGUAGAUCUCCCACCCUUUGUAAACUUACCUUUGUUGCUUUGGCAGGCCCGUCUCCGGACCGCCGGCUUCGGCUGGCCAGUGCCUGCCAGAGGAUUCUAAAACUCUGUCUGUCAGUGUUGUCUGAGUCUAUAUACAAUCGUUAAAACUUUCAGCAAUGGAUCUCUAGAUCGGAAGAGCACAC
rnacentral:misc_RNA from 1 species